rnacentral:rRNA from 1 species
CCCUUAGAUGUUCUGGGCCGCACGCGUGCUACACUGAGUGGAUCAGCGGGUCAGGUUGCGCGAAAGCGUUUCCUAAUCUUUAAAUCCGCUCGUGAUGGGGAUUGACGGUUGCAUUUUUCUGUCAUGAACGAGGAAUACCUUGUAAGCGCGGGUCAUCAUCCCGCGCUGAAUACGUCCCUGCCCUUUGUACACACCGCCCGUCGCUCCUACCGAUUGAGUGGUCCGGUGAGGCUUUGGGAUCUGAGCGGAAAGAGCGUUUCGCUGUUUCUGCUCGGAAAACUCAGUCGAACCUUAUCAUUUAGAGGAAGGAGAAGUCGUAACA